rnacentral:misc_RNA from 1 species
UCGUCCGCGAGAUGGUGCUGCUGUGGUAAUAGUUUAUCGGUGGGGGAAUUCUUCCGUACGUGUUGUUAUUGUUUGUUGUUAUUUUUUUAUAUUUUUUUCGGUACUAUCGGUCUGUCUCUCUCGUCAAUGAACCGUCAUGGCCUCAACCGUUUCUUAUCAUUGGCGGCCCCGCAGUGUAGUGUGUGUGCACGCCCGUGUGUGUGUGUGCGUGUGCGUGUGACAAAAUAUUUCGUGCGAGCGGAGAGAAAAAUAAAAACGACGAUAAUAAUAAUAUUAUAAUAACGAAAAUAAUACGACCGCCGCCGAAUUUACAGAGACACGUCGCACACCGCCACCGCAGUGAUCGUCCAUCGUUUUACAUAGACCGUACUAGGUACCUAUUGGUGUUUGUUACGCAAAUCUUUUUUUCCACUCUUCUUGUCUUUCGAGAAAUUAGCGCUGCACGAAAUAUGGUAUCGUUGUCGUCGUUUGCCCGCCGGUUCACCAGCCCUCCUCGUCGACAAUAAAUUUGUCGUCGCUGUCCGCUUGGUGUUUUUUUUCCAUGCCAUCAGGACUCGCCACCGCCAAUCUCGGAAUGACCACAUAGAAGCUGAAGCUUAUGUAGAUUUUUUGAGGAGUUAUGUUAAACAGCCUGAGAGAUGGUCAAAUAAAUUAUGGAACUACAAAUUGCCAAUCUGCACAUGUUCCACCUCAUAAUGUCGUCGCCCCAAUACAUCAAAAUUCUCUUAUAUCGACCGAACCCACUACACCUGUCUAUCAGUGGAAUGCAAACCAUCGGCUUGAACAUUUAUAUGGCUUUCAUUCCAGAUAUUAUAAUCUCGACUUUCCUACUCCAUACCCGCCAGCUACUAAUCAAUAUGUACCUUCAAAUGUGUACGGACAGAAUUUGCCGCAAUGCUGUCAACCGUGUUGUCGGCUCAGGUCUCAAAACAUACCAAAAGCAUCUCCAUCACAAAUGUUAUAUAACCCAAGACCAGUGCAACAAUUGAAUCGAUCUUAUAAAUCAAAAAAGACUUUGAAAACUCCGUGCUCCGAACAGUUCCUACCAUACAUUCCAAAUGAUUUACCAGUUAAAUACGAUACCCAAAAUUGUUAUCAACAAAAAUAUAAUAGUUCAUAUUUAAACAACACAAAUUAUUGCCCUCCAGCUAAUAACUUGUGGAUUCCACCCGCGGCCAAUCCUAACUGGUCUACCGAUAGGUUACGUCCAAUUGGUCGUCAUACCGGUGUGGUGUCGCAUGAUUUUAGUAGGGAAAAAAAUUAUCAAAGAUUACCAAACUAUCAAAGUAACCCUUAUUUAAAACCUACAAGUGCUACACAUCAUAUACCUUAUAAUUACAUUCCAUCAAUGCCUGAUGUACACGACUAUCGACCUUCAAUCUAUCAUAAUUCAUUAAAAAACAAUACGACUGAGUAUGUAUCACAUGAUCACAGUUCUAGAUUGCCUAUUUCAUCUCAAAAUAUUCAAAAUCCGCCUUCAUUACAACAGUACUAUAACACUCAACCAGUGCCUUAUUCAGAUGUACAAAUACCAAAUAGUGAAUCAUUUAAAUCACCUCAAAUCGAGCCAAAAAAUAACUCAAAGAGUAAUUUAAACGUACGUGAGUUUUUAGCUAAUUGGGACGAAGGAGAAGAAGAAAUCGGUGAAAAAUCUUCUGAAACAACAGAGCCCAUAGUGGUACUCGAUUGCAUGACACUUGAUGGAGAUGCAUUGACUAAAAUUCAAGAAAAACUAAAUGUAGUUUCCUAUGAAAAUUUGGAAAAAGUACUUAAAGAAAAUCAAAACCCAUUAGUUUUAACUGCAGAACCAAAUGAAAUCAAUUCUUUUAACAAUAAACCCAAAUUACAUUCAAAAUCUAAUUUUGAACCCCUAGAUUACACUAAACGGGAAACUGGUAUUAUUAAACCGUUUAUCACUGAAAAAAAAAUAUCAUCCGAAUUAACUAACCAGCCUGAAAAAAGUUAUAGCGUUAAUUUUGAUGGAAUGGUUGCUUGGUACGGUAAAAAAAAUACAGAUAUUUCAUCCACAGAUCUCAUUGAAAGAUUAGCUGACAGGAUUUUUAACCUAAGUAAAUCACAAGAAAAUGAAGGCGUAUCAUUUGGAACAGCAGCCUAUACAGGACAAAUAACUCAAACUAAUCGAUCCAUUGAAAGUACCGAUAAAAAUACUACAAAAUAUAUUCAAAAUCCACAAAUGUUUGAUUUACAACAUCAUGUAGAUAAAUGUAUUGAACCUCCUUUGAUGAAUAAAAUCAGUUGUAACAAGGAUUCAAUUCCUAGAGUUAAUUCUUUUGUUUUAAAUGAAAGUAACAAAUCAUCAACUAUAAAAUCAAAUAACGCGAAUUCAUCGUGUAUCGUGGAAAAUAUAACAAAAAGAUGUUUAAAUGUUACUAAUGAAGAUACUACACCAUGGCAUUUAGACCAAAGUGUCCAAGAACAACAUUUAAAUACGUCUUUGUAUGACCACAGUGUUAUAAUGAAACCUCUUGACUUUUCUUCGCUUACCGAUGAAACUAAAGGUAAUCCUUUUGUGUUCGAAAAAAUUACGUCAAAUGAUAUCAAACUAAAUGACAGCAUCAAUAAUCAAUGCAAUAAAGUAUUUAAUGAAAAUAAUAGUUAUAACUCUACAGUUUCCAAUAACGAACAUUCAAUACAACAAAUAGAUACAAGUAAUAGACAUUUUCCAGUUAUAGUCUCGCCACAUAGACAAGAAUAUAACGGAUUUCAUGAAAGUGUCAUACAGAGGACUGGUUGCGAUAAAAAUAAACACGAUAAAGUAUCAACACAAACUGAUUUUGAAAGCAUGAAUUGGAACUUAUCAAAUGAUCUUGAUAAGAUUAUGAAAAACACGAAUAUAGUUAUGGAACCAUCUUGUUUAUAUGACAGAAAUAAUUACAAUAUUUUAGACAGUAUGAACUCAGAUAAAAAUGUUUCUACUCGGUGGAAGGAUAAUGUACCGUGUGUAGACUUGACAGUUAACUGUAAAACUAAUCUUCAUCACGAUUCAUUUUUUGACAGCUGGAGCUUUAUUGAAAGCUAUGAAAAUCAUUCUAAUAAAAAAAUUAUGAAUAUGUCUUCUAAUGAUAAUUCCCACCACUCGUUGUUUCCGAACCAAAUAACUUCUUUAGAAGAAUCAACAAAAAAUAAUAAUAAUUCUAGUGAAAAUACUGAUGAUACAUUGGUUGCAGUAAAAGAUAUGCCACCAUUUUCAAAAUCGAAUGAUUUAUCACCUACUAAUCGACAAUCGCGAGACGUUUUUAAUUUAAAUAAUAGAAUACCUGACUUCAGUGAUGGGUUUGAAUUACCAGUUAUAAAUGAAUCACACGAUUAUUUGCAAUUUAAAAAGGAUGAUAAUGAACAUCGGGCGGAUGGUUCGAUUUUUGAACAUCUAAAUGAACCUAAGUGCAUUACAACUGUAAAUGAAACAUUAAAUUAUAAGAAUGAUCAAAAUAAACUCGAUUUUAUUGGUCUCCCGAGUUUUAAAGAAAAAGAGCCAUUAGCACCUGUAUCUGCACCUUCAAAACUUAAUGUUGUUAAACCUACUUUACGAGACCCUAGUCAAAUGUAUACAGUCAUAAAACAGAAGUUAAAAUAUGAUAAUCCAUGUGUUGACAAUGAUAGUGUAGUAACUAAUAAAAUUGAAAACAAUUCAAAAGAACAUCUUACGAAUUCGUUUAACGUAACGGACUUAAAAUCUAAAUAUAAUUGUGUGCAAUUAAAUCAAUUUGAUGUUUGGUCUGAAAAGUUUGUAUUAAAAGGAAAUUCAAAUACUUCGUCUAGUGCAGUUGUUCAAUGUGAUGUAGAAAUUACACAAUUUAAGAGUAAUCCCGAAAAUCGCAAUUUAUUAUCGAAAUCAAAUAUGAGUGAAAAUUAUCAGGACAAAACUAUGAUAUUGCCAGAAAAUACAAAUUGCAAUUUAACUGCUGAUAAAAUUAAUUCGAAUGAUUUUCUUAACUGUUUGGAGAGCACAAAAACAGAUGACCAGAAAUAUCGAGAUACUUUUGAUGAAUUUGAAACGUCAUUUGGAUUUGAUAUACAUUGUAAUGCCGAAUCUAACAAAUCUUUCCACGAAGAUAUUGUCGACAAAUGUUUCGAAGAAAGGAUUAAAGAUCAAAUUAGAGAUCGGAACAUAAAUACAGUUGAAUCAACUAAUACUUCAAACAGUAAUACAACAUCAUCAAACAAUACUCAGUUGCCUUUCCAGUGUGAUUUUCAAUCAAGUUAUUUAAUUAAAAAUUAUUUUGACGAAAACAAAAAUAAAACAGUUGUGUUAGAUCAACAAACCAGUUACCAUGAUAAAUCAGACACAACAGUCUUUAAAUAUCAUGGACAAAAUGUACAAGAAUUCGAAUUGCAAAGUAAUGAAAAUAUUCAUACAGUUAUAAAUUCUGAAAAAAAUUCUAAGUUUAACAUGAAUAGCGAUGUUGGAAAAAUUCAAAAUGUUAAUGAAAACAAUAAUUCAAAUUUUAUAAAUGAAGUCGAAUCCUGUGAAGAUAAACACGAAAACACAAAUAAUAUUAGUAAAAUAUCAAGUUUAAAAAAAAAUAGUUUCGAUUAUUUAAACGUAGAAGAUCGCAAUUUAAAGUUUGAUAAUAAAAAAAGUAUUCUUGAAUCCAUAAUUUCUAAGGGAAAAUGUGAAAUUAAUAGUUCUAUUGAAGCUAACAUUAUUAGCAAAGUAAAACAGAAUGAUUUGAAUACUAACAAAUUAUUUCAUGUUCGAAAAAAUUCAAAUGUUGAUUUUGAGCUGAAUAAUAUCGAAUCAAAUAUUUUUGGAUCAAAUCCAAAAUCUAAAAGUAUUGUAAGUCCAAUUGAAGCUAAUAAAAACAAUAAAAUAGGUAACCACACGAAUAGUUUUGAAUCAAAGUAUAAUUCUGAUAAUAUAGAACAAAUUGAACACAAUAUUAAUAAAAAAAAUAUUUUUGAAUUGGAUAAUAAUAAUAUUGAUAUACAUAAUUUAGAAAAAAUGGAUGAAUUUGAUUUUAAUACAAGAAUUAUUCAAAAUUUAGAAAUUGAAUGUUCUUCUGUUAAUAUUGAAAAAUCAACAAGUUCAAACGAAAUAUUUACAAAUAAAAGUCAAAUAAAAACUGAUUGUGGAUUUGAAAUAAACGAUGAUGAAAACAAAGUAAAAUUAGAAACAAAUUACAAAAACACUCUAGGUAUUCAAGAAAAGCUACAAGUUGAAGAAACGUCUAACUUAAAUCGUAAUAAUGAUACUCAAUGUCAUAAUGUAUUUGAAACUGAAAAUAUUAAUUGUGAAAAUAAAGUGGACCGUAUUUUUGAAAUUGGCUGUAUUGUUAACAAUAUUCAAGAAAAACUAAACCUCGAAAACCCUGAAAUACAAACUGAUUUUGAUAUUGAAAAUCAAAAUACAGAAAAAUGUAAUUUAAAUAACUGUAAUACUAGUAGGAAUUCUAAAAGAGGUAAUAACUUGGAAGUUGAGAAUAUUUUUGAAAAUAUAUAUGAUAAUUUAUCGACUUUGAACUCUGUCAAAAAUGAUACUAACAUUUUAGAAAAUUUCUGUCAAGAAGAUACAAAAUGUGAUGCUUCUAAAUGUCUAGAAAUUACUAAAAAUUUAAAUUUAAAAAAUAAAAACUCAGAGGAUGUUGAUGAAAUUUGUGACGAACCAAAUAUGGAUGUGUUCCAUAAUGUAUCUGAAGAAACUAAUAAUGUUUUACUACAAGAACUUGUAAAUAAUUCUGCUGGUCGUCUGAUGACUGUUUCAGUGCCACACAAUGAAUCGAUAAACGAUGUUGAAAGCAAACCAACGAUUCUAGAAUAUAGUACAAAUGAAAAUCAAGCUAUGUCUGUAGAAGAAUUUACCGAAAGCAUUAAAGAAGGUGAAACCGAGUCAAAUAUUGAAAAAAAUAGGCAACCUAUAAAAAACUUGACGGUCAAUAUAGUUAAAGGAGGUGCUACAUUAGCAAUAUUUGAAAACUUAAAAUCUAAUUUAUUAAAUGCUGAAGAAAAAUAUCAUGCUUUUGAAUUAAAAUCACAACAGAAUCCCAAUAAAAUGUACGAAGUUGAAGAUUCUACUAACUCUGGACCUUGUUUAUUGAGUCAUAUUGAAAUGACUAAUUCUAAUCAAAUAAUUGAGAAUAAAGAUGUAAUGAAUUAUGAACCGAGUAUAUUAAAUCACGAUGAAUUAAUAGCCCAACAACGUUCAGUGGAAACUAUUGAAGCCGUUGAUCUGACUAGUUCUAGACCUAGUUCAUUAAAUCACAAGAAACUAAUGAUGCAAAAACCGAUAAAGAUGUUUAUUGCUGAAAAUUCAACAAGUCCUAAACUUUCAUUAAACAAUGAUGAAUCUACAUCCCAACAGUAUCCAGAUGAAAUUGGUGAAAUCAAAGAUUCCAUUAGUACUGGACUUAGUUCAUUAAGUAAUACUGAAUUAAUAAACAAACAAAAUACAAAUACAAUUGAUGGAGUUGAAGAUUCAGUUAAUUGCGAAUGUAACUUAUUAAACCAUAAGGAAUUAAAAUGCCAACAAUAUUGCAAUAAAAUGGUCGAGGUUGAAAACUCAAAGAAUUCAUUAAAAAACAAUAUAUUGCAAUACCACCAACAUAUAAAUCAAAUUAAUAAGAAUAAAGAUUCAACUAAUUCAGAGCCUUGUUCAAUAAAUCAAGAUGAAUUAGAAUUACAAAAGGAUUCAAACGUCAUUUACGAGCUCGAAGAUUCGAUUAAUUCUGGAUCUUAUUCAAUAAAUCAAGAUAAAUUUGAAUUUCAACAAAAUGCAAAUGUUAUAUAUAAGGCUGAAGAUUUGACUAGAAAUAAACCGAGUUCAAUAAAACAGAAUGAAUUAAAAUACCAUCAUAAUUUAAAUGAAAUUAGUAAGAAUGAAGAAUUAACUAGUUCUGGACCUAGUUCAAUAAAUCAAAGUCAAUUAGACUCUCAACAAAAUGCAAAUAAAAUGUACAAUGCUGAAGAUUUGACUAGAAAUAGACCUAGUUCAAUAAUACAGAAUGAAUUAAAAUACCAUCAUAAUUUAAACGAAAUUAGUGAGAAUGAAAAUUCGACUAGUUCUGGACCUAGUUCAAUAAAUCAAGAUGAAUUAAAAUUACUAAAGAAUUCAAAUGUAAUUGACGAGUCCGAAGAUUUGAAAAGUUCUAAAUCUAGUUCAAUAAAUCAAGAUCAAUUAGAAUUACAACAUAAUUCAAACGAGAGUAACGAUUCUGAAGAUUCAACUAGUUCUAGGCUUAGUUCAAUAAGUCAAGAUGAAUUAGAAUUACUAAAGAAUUCAAAUGUAAUUGACGAGUCCGAAGAUUUGAAAAGUUCUGAAUCUUGUUCAAUAAAUCAAGAUCAAUUAGACUUUCAACAAAAUGCAAAUAAAAUGUACAAUGUUGAUGAUUGUACUAGAUCUAGAUGUAGUUCAAUAAAACAAAAUGAAUUAAAAUACCGCCAAAAUUUAAAUGAAAUUAGUGAGUAUGAAGAUUCAGCUAGUUCUGGACCAAAUUCAAUAAAUCAAGAUGAUCUAGAAUUACAAUAUAAUUUAAAUGCAAUAAACGAUUCUGAAGAUUCAGUAGGUUCUAGUUCUAGUUCAAUAAAUCAAGAUGAACUAAAAUUACAACAUAAUUCAAAUGAAAUUAAUGGUUCUGAAGAUUCAACUAGUUCUAUGCCUAGUUCAAUAAAUCAAGAUGAACUAAAAUAUCAUCAUAAUUUAAACGAAAUUAGUGAGAAUGGAGAUUCAACUAGUUCUGAAUCUUAUUCAAUAAAUCAAGAAAAAUUAGGCCUUGAACAAAAUUUGAAUGAAAUAUAUAAGGCUGAAGAUUUGACUAGAUGUAUACGUACUUCAAUAAAACAAAAUGAAUUAAAAUACCAUCAACAUUUAAAUGAAAUUAAUGGAAAUGGAGAAUCAACUAGUGUUAGGCCUAGUUUAAAAAAUCAAGAUGAAUUAGAAUUAACUAAGAAUUCAAAUGCAAUUGACGAGUCCGAAGAUUUGAUAAGUUCUGAAUCUUGUUUAAUAAAUCAAGAUAAAUUAUAUUUUCAUCAAAAUGUAAAUGAAAUAUACGAUUCUGAAGAUUCAACUAGUUUUAGGCCUAGUUCAAUAAAUCAAUAUGAAUUAGAAUUUCAACAGAAUUUAAAUGAAACCGACAAGGCUGAAGAUUUGAGUACAUCUGCCCAUAGUUCAAUAAAUCAGGUCGAAUUAGAAUUUCAACAAAAUUCAUAUGCAAUUUAUGAUUCCGAAAAUUUGAUUAGAUCUGAACGUAGAUCAUUAAAUCAAGAUGAAUUAGAAUUUCAAUAUAAUUCAAAUGAAACUAAUGAGGCUGUAGAUUUGACCAUAACAAGACCUAGUUCAAUAAACCACGAAGAAUAUAGAAAUGAACACAAUUUGAAUGCAAUCGUUGAAGAUAAAAAUUUAAUUGGUUCUGUUAGAAGUUUAUUGAAACACAGUGAAUUGAUAAGCCAAGAUAUAUUUGAAGAGCCACCCAGUUUAAAAAAGUCUGUGAUAUUUGAACAGAAUAUUCAUAAAACGAAUUGUGAUGCGUGUACAGAUUCGAAAAGCGUUGUUGAUGACAUAAAAUUACCAAAAGUUAAAUUUAUAUUGAAACGUCAUAGUAGAAAUAUGAUAAAAACAAAUAUAUUUGAUGAAGAACCGGAUGUGCCUUACAAAAAAUUGAAAGUAGUGAAAGAUGAAAACCUUAUGACUCGUCAUAUUUUCAAAAAACGAAAUAAGUCCUAUACAAAGUGUACAUCGUGGCAAAAUAUGUAUAAAAAGGAAUUGAACUUUGAACCGAAUGAUAAUAAUCUAAAAGAGUCAAUCGAAAAGACGGAUAUCCCACCAAUUAUUCGUCCGGAUAAUAUUGCACAAGUCGUUCAAACCCCGGAUGAAAGAGAAAAAUAUGACAAUAAGUUACUAGAUCGGAUGUACGAUCAUGAUGACGAACGAAAUGAUGAAGUUUUAAAUGUCUCUGUUGGGGUCAAAAAUGAUGUGAUUGAUGAUGAUGAAUAUAACGGGCCUUUCAACACCCCAAUCCCAUCGCCAUUUGACGACUUUCAAUCGGAAAACCCAACGCCAGAACACUGCAGUGGCGAAGUAUUUUGGGACAAGUCACUGGAAGAUGAGUACAAAAGCGUUCUGCAUAAGACGAUAUCAAAAUUUGCGAAAGUCCGGGUUAACAUCAGAGAUAAGUUUAACAGUCGACUACUUGCUCAUCGGGUGAACAAAACGAAACGGAAAAAACGGGAGUGGCGACAGCGACAGCUAUUAUUGGCCGAUAAGGCGGCGGUAGUAAUCGUUGGACGCGUCGAAGACGCUGUCAAGCCUGUUGUCGUGGCCUCCAAAGUAUCGACAAAUCCGAUGUACAAGAUCAAAGUUCAGUUGCCCUGGGGUCGGAUAUUUAAUAUGAAAGGAAACCGGAAUAAGACCAAGGAUAAUACCAAAAUCGAGCUGGGCCCUGCUAAAGUAGAAGUGAGAUUAAGCCGAACGCCGGGUGAAUGGCAGGUGGCAGCUUGUCAGCCGAUGACUUCUCCCAAAUCGGUGGUGAUUGUCAGACGGUUAGUACUGCAGAGGGCAACUAGUCCUGUCACAAACAAUAGCGACGUUGAUGACCACUUCCACAACCACCGCCACGAGGAUGACGGCCAUGAUACAAACGAUAAUCGUUCGCACGAACUCUCCAGGAAAUUGCCAAAAAUUGUUAUCCGAAGAAACGGUCAAGACAAUAACUAUACCAGUUACGUGAGCAGUAGUGGGUUCGAGAGUGGCGGAGGCGACGAAGACGAUGGCAGCGGCGACAAAAACGACAGCGGUGGCGGCGUUCCUCAGUUGAUGGUUCGGUUGGUCAGAGACCGAAAGCUGGAUGCAAUGGCCGUCGAAGGAGUCACUACUCUACACCUUAAACAUCUUGUUCCUAUAUCCGAAUCUGAAAUGGAAGCAUCAGUGGAGGUGGACAUGCACUGUGCCAAAAGGGUUCGAUACUCGUAGAUUGCAGUUAAUACCACCAUAACUAUUACCACUAUCAUCAGUCAACACCACCUUACACGUUACCACCACCAACUAAUAGGAAGAUUAAAUAAAAAAACAUGCAUUUUUUAUGUAAACUGGAAAAGUUGAAUAUUAUGUUACCAAUAAUAAUUAUUACAACCUUCAAAACUUUAUCACGAUUUUUCUCUUCAGUUGUUGUUUUUAAUUUAAAUUUUAUAUUUUUACGAUUUUGGUUUUUGAUAAAAUGAUGUUAUUGUUUUAUCAAUAAUCUACAUUGUGUACUAUACUAGAAAUUAUGGAU